UACGUAGGGUGCAGGCGUUUAAUCGGAAUUACUGGGCGUAAAGCGUGCGCAGGCGGCUCCUUAAGUCAGAUGUGAAAGCCCCCGGGCUCAACCUGGGAAUGGCAAUGGAUACUGGCGAGCUAGAGUGUGUCAGAGGAUGGUGGAAUUCCCGGUGUAGCGGUGGAAUGCGUAGAGAUCGGGAAGAACAUCAGUGGCGAAGGCGGUCUGCUGGGCCGUUGCUGACGCUGAGGCGCGACAGCGUGGGGAGCAAACAGG
rnacentral:rRNA from 1 species